rnacentral:rRNA from 1 species
AUAGCGUAUAUUAAAGUUGUUGCAGUUAAAAAGCUCGUAGUUGAAUUUCUGGCCAGCGCUGUACUGGCUCCCUGAGUCGGUGCAGUGCUUGGUCAUCCGUAUGGGAAGCUAGCUCGGCCUUCACUGGUCGGCUAGUGGAUCAUACACUUUACUUUGAAAAAAUUAGAGUGUUUCAGGCAGGCAAUUGCUUGGAUACUUCAGCAUGGAAUAAUGGAAUAGGACUUUGACCUAUUUGUUGGUUUCUUGAGGUCAAAGUAAUGAUUAAUAGGGACAGUUGGGGGCAUUCGUAUUUAAUUGUCAGAGGUGAAAUUCUUGGAUUUAUUAAAGACUAACUUAUG